UCAUAUGAUGAAUUUUGUCAGUGUUGUGGGAAUAGGGCGGUUAGUGUGCUAAACGACAUUUCAAUUGUGCAAGUUGCGUUUAAAAUCAAAAAAGUUUUCAGGAGGGUUCUCAAUGUAUCGAAAGAAAAGUAUCGAUACUUACUUGGUAUCGGAUUGAAAAGCAUCGAGUGAAAAAAUACUUGGUAUCGCAGCAAAAGUAUCGAGUAUCGUUUGAUCCCUAGUGUUGAGUUCAGCUGGAUAUUUUUGUUACUGCUAUUGUAGGCACAGAUGUAGGUUGUACAGAUAUCCUAAUUAUAAGCUUUAAAGUUACAUAAAGCUUACUAAGGUGAGAAAGUUUGCUAAACAAAGACGGACUUCAGAGCUUCCAGACGAUAACAUCCUGUUAUUAUGAAUAAAGCUUGAAUACAUCUGUUGAUAGGCGCUUUCGCAUUCAAGUAAAUGGCAGAUCUGAGCAAAAAAUAUAGUUUCACUAUGACAGCGUAGCUGAAAACAUCGCGUUACGAAUGUAUUUAGUUAAGCGGGAGCAUCUUUUGAGUUUGUGCUGCGGGCCUUAAUAAAA